rnacentral:tRNA from 1 species
GCGAAAGUGGCGGAACUGGUAGACGCGCUGGAUUUAGGAUCCAGUUCCUUCGGAGUGGGGGUUCGAGUCCCCCCUUUCGCA